UACAAAACGGAAACCAAACACAAUGUAAGUUUGAAUCAACAAAGAAAACAGUAAUGAGCUUAGUGAGUCGUGCACCUUCGUGGUGGGUAGAGGACUCGAUCUCGGGCCUUGGACAUACUGAUAACAGCACCAUGAGUGAUUGAUGAGCUCCUUGUGCGACCGAAACUGAUCCGAAAUCCAAGUUUUUGAAAGAACCAUCGUUUCGGAAGCUCUGUCAUCAAUGUAGCGAGUCCACUUGUGGCUUCGAC
rnacentral:lncRNA from 1 species